ACGGAGGGUGCAAGCGUUAAUCGGAAUUACUGGGCGUAAAGCGCACGCAGGCGGUUUGUUAAGUCAGAUGUGAAAUUCCCGGGCUCAACCUGGGAACUGCAUCUGAUACUGGCAAGCUUGAGUCUCGGAGAGGUGGGCGGAAUUCCAGGUGUAGCGGUGAAAUGCGUAGAGAUCUGGAGGAACACCAGUGGCGAAGGCGGCCCACUGGACAAUGACUGACGCUGAGGUGCGAAAGCGUGGGGAGCAAACAG
rnacentral:rRNA from 1 species